UCCUGUCCUGAUGGUCUAGUGGUCAGGACUCCUGGUUUCCACCCAGGUGGUCUGGGUUCAAGUCCCGGUCUGGGAG